GGCUUGUUUUGGGGUCAGAAAGCAGUUUCCCAGGGCCAGAGUUAUCUGCCCAUGUGUUCAGGUCUGCUGCCUGGGCACGGUCCCACAGGUGGGGAUGCUUUGUAGGGUCAUCCAGACACAGCUGCUAGAGCUGUUAUGGUUCUGCCAUUUAAUGCCAAGACUUCUCAGAACCACUCCAUCCUGUGCUGCCCGAGAGAUCCCUCCUCAUUUUGACUGCUCUGCAUCUUUCAGAGGCAUCCCUCAGCUGCUUGGCUUCAGUUCUGGUACUGGGCACACCAGCAGCAUCAGCCUCCUGCCCUCCUCGGGAGCCCACAGGCUCCAGCUUUGUACUUCACUGCUGUCCCAGGGCCCUCUGCCUUCCUGCUCGUGCUUUUAUUGUGAGCAUAAUUCCUAUCCCCAGCUGAGGGUUUCAACACAGAAAAAGGAAAAGAACAGGAUAGAGGCUAGUUCCUGGAGCUAAGAGUUCAUUCUUCUUCCACCUUUGAAGAUAAAGCGAUGAGAGGACCAGGAGGGAUGGAUGAGGAAGCCCAGGGGCCUGCAGACGUACCAAAGGGAAAGUGAAGGAAAUGGCUUUCAGAUGAGUCAGCCAAAGGCAACUUCCCCCCACCCAAGUGCCAGGGGAACAACAGACUGCUGGAAAGCACCUGGAAGGGCUGCAGGAGACAGGUAGCAGCAGAAGUUUGAACUGAGAAUUUAGGAGGCACUCAAAACGUUCACUGAUUCUUAAAGGAGAAGGGCAUUUAUAGUACCGCAGCCGUGUGGACUUGGAGUUGCUCAAUAAUUUCCAUUCUCAAGUUUGGCUUUCAGCUGCUUGUGCCUUGUCAAAGGAGAUUGGAUCCAAGUGGAUUACGUAUUACAUUGCCUGUUCUCAGAGCUGGUUGAUUUGCAAGCUUCAGCAAAUCUGAUCUAGCAAAUUUGGAAAAAGUCUGACACAAACAAGUUUAAUUUCCUUAAGUCAGAAUUCUUGGAGCUCUUGCGCCCAGACUGCAGUGCCUCAUUUUUGAGCAGGAUUUGAAGCUCAGGAGGAGGAUCUGAUUCAAGGCUGGAUCAGUUAGCAGUUUUCCCUCUCACCUAAGUCUGGCAAAGAUACAAACCUCUGAAAAACACGCUGCUUCAUGUACCCUUUAGAUGUCUGGUGGAGUGGGUAAGUUCUUGGAUGAUUCCGUCUCCAAACCCAAAGCUCCAGCCCAGCUUAAUCUCAGGAGUUCUUCCUCUGUGACUGAGCACUGAAGCCAAGAGCAAAGAAAUGCUGUGCUUGCAGCAGAAGCAUAUGGAUGCAUGAGGAAGAGCUGUGAAGAGCAAAGACGAGGCAGACUAGUGAGUGGGGAACAGAUGUAAAGAUAGACAGGGGUGGUCUGGCUGGUAGGAACAGGGGCAGAGAAAAAACAUAGCCCUGGGACUUGGGCCAUGAGAAGGUGGUGGGCAGGCAGGUGGGUCUGUAACCAUUGGGGCAUAAUUCUAAGAUCUAGUUCAGGGGGAAUGGGUUUCUUUAGCAUCCUCCUGAACAAAUGGACUGGAAAUAACAAAUAAGCAUGGAUAUCUUUCCGUAUGGAAGGUAAGAGUCUGCCGUCACUGCUCCACCAGGGUAAUUUGAAGGGAUCCACAGAUCAAGAGAGUCCACUUUGGGUAACUACUAAUGAAAGGCACCUGGGGUACCCCACAAACACACACGACGACAGGCCAGCACCUCAGAGGGAAGCAGAAAAGCUUUGAGACAUUUCAGAGGAAAGCCUCCUUGGUCACUGCUGGUGGACAAGGCCACCUCGGAGGAACGUGGCUGCGGCAUUAGGCAGACAAGUCUCCAGUGACAGUGUUUAAGCAACACUAUCAAAUUGCUGGCAGGCGUGUUUAAGAGCACUCUAAUAUCUUAUAUAAUAGCAGCCGAGGACUGAAUGGCUUUGCCAAACUUCAUCAUCGCUACUGGGACAGACUGGCAGAGCACAUCACACCGCAGCAUGCGUGAUAUUUCACGAGAGAAAGGUACAGGAGGGAAGAGAUAUUGAGCUCAAUAACUUCUGCAUCAACACCAGAUGCAGAAAACGGUGAGCUUCAAAGACUUCUGCUUCAAAGACCAGCCUGAAGGGUUCGCCAUCACAAGGUGAACCCUUCCACUUACUUGCUAAGUUAAGGUCUUAUGUUUCCAAUGUGAGGUUAGUGGUCUUGGGAGGUCUUGCCUUACAGAGAGCCCAAGGGUGUACCCUCAUGGAGCAUGGGGGCUGUGAGAGCACCCAGCAGCCUGGGCAGAGCCCCCAAGGAGCAGCGCGAGGGGCUGUGGCUCUCAGAGCUGUCUGAGUGCUGCCGUGACACCAAUACCCAUGGGGGACCUGCCUCUGUGCCCCGAGUUUGGCCACCGUGAUGGGCUGCCAUGCCAAUGGUCCCACAGCUGUCACGUUUGUAGAGCUGCUGGAAAAUAGUAGUGGAUUGGCAAGAGUAAACUCAAAUAAUUGAAUUCACUCAUUUGGAAACUUUUUCUGAAGCCUUUUUUGACUUCUGCACACUUUUAACAUAUGCAUAUACUGUAAGGGCUAGGAGAAACUCUCUAUGCAGGUCAUGAAACAGACCUUUGGACGGCCUCUUGGGGAAAUGUGGGGAUAUUUGAAACAAGACUGAAAAACUACUUCUCUGGGGCAUUGCUUUUCUGGCAGAGAGAUGGCUUAAAUGGCUAUUUUGACCAGCACAUCAACAUGAUAAAGUGUUUCAGAGUCUUACUUUUAAAGCAGAGUAGACUUAAAAACUCUCAAAUAUUGAAUUUAGUAGAAGAAUAUCAUUUAACAAUAUAAUGUAAGUAAUAUAUUAGCAUACAUUUCAUUUUGAGGGCUGCUUCAUCCACACUUUGAGUCCAAAAUGAGGGACAGGUCUGUGGUCCAGUCACCUGCAGCCUUGAUUCACCAAAGGGAAGAGUUGGCCCCUACCCUGAUCCAUGGACCUGAAUAAUGCUUGGGUUCCUCUACAUCAGACAGAGCUCAUCAGGCAUCGCAUGCAUCACAGCAGGCUUUUUCUUGCUUUGCAAAGGGCCACAUAAUAGAAGUUAGCCUUGAGACACUUGCAGCAGAGAAAGGACGUGCUUAGCACACAUGGGGAGCUUCAGCUGCGUGUGUAAAAUCUCCUGGAAACACAUUUUUAAUGGGACAGCCCUUUCAGUCAGUGCUAAUGAUUUACCUUGGAAAUAUGACUCUAUAACUCUACUCAAGUUCUUUGUGUAUGUAACAAAAGAUAAAUUACGAGCUUCAGAGUGAGUCAGUGCUGGCUGGUGGUGUCUGAGAGGGUCUGCAAACCCGCUCCAGUGGUGGCUGCACCGCAUUUCUAUGAAGGCUGGUUCCAGGGCUGAUGCUGCCAACAUCAUAUACUCCCAUCACAGCAACACUCUGUAUCCACAAUUAAAAACAAAAGCAGGAGCUUGGAGCUGAAUUUGGUUUUCCUUUUCUUUUAGGCUCAUUAUUUUUUUAUCUCGUUUAAUUCUCAGGUCACCACUCAGGAGCUCCCAUGGGACGUUUUGUCUCCCCCUCCUCCUGGGAGGAUGGUUAUACCAGGAGUUUCCAGCUGUGCUCAAAUGCUGUGCAAAUAUGAACUUUAAAAAAAAAAAUCCAUCUUUUUAAAAGGUGAGAGCCAGGCAUCUGUGCAAAGAGCUGCAGGAAGUGAUGGAUGAAGUUGGGAAGCUUGCUACAAACACCAAUGCUUCUGCAACUCGAUCUGUUUGUUUUGCGCUUAAUUGUGGCUUAGCUUUGAGUGAAGCUGAAUGCCAGCACUGCCAGUCUAGCCCAGAAACAUGCAAAACGUGGCAAUCCGGCUGCGAAAUUCACAUUGCUCGAGGCAACCUGCGUUUGUAGUCGGAGGGAAAGGCAUCCCAUCUUGCUGCCCCUGCGACACGCGCAGCCAGCUGUUGGGGUGAUGUAUAUGCUGCUGUCUGCUGGAAGUGCUGUGGAUACUUCCCAUGUAGAAAAUUCCAUCAGUGUGACAGAUCUCCUCUGCCAACACACCGAAAUGGAAAGCCUGCUGCAAUCCUAAUAGAAAUAUCCUGGGAGACUCGCAGCUCUGUUGAAUUAAGGAAGGAAGAAUAGAUCAAAUGUUUUUUUCUAAGCCCGGUUAACUCCCCCAGAACAGGACACAGCUGUGAAUCCCUUGAAGGCAGCACACAUUCCCUGCCAAGUUAGAAGGCAAUUAUUCUUCAUAAAUCUGUCUUUUUAAAUUCAAGUGGAUCGAUUGCCUCGUCUAUCCUUUCCCUGUGCCAGCACCCGGAAAGGCUGUUUGGGCACCACCUCCGACAAAGCACCCCGCUUAUCAGAGAGCCACACCACGGAGGCAAUGACAGCCCCCUGAGCCCCGUGUAUCCCUUUAUAACCAUGGAUAUUAAGAGCUGCUGCAGCUGAACCCGGCCUGUGUUUGCACAGCUGCUCGUCCCUGUCUGCCUCGCACGCAUCCUCACGGAGCUUCUCCCUUUUCUCCAGGCCUUUUCCCCAACUUGGAGGUCUUGCUUUUGGUUGUCAUUGAGCCCUCCCCUGUGCUCCCACUUGCUUCGUGCCGCCUGUCACGUAGUAAGGAUAGGCUCCAUCUCUAUCAUCUGUACCCAUCUGUACCCUGACCCCAUGCUCUUCUUUUUGACCCUAAUGGGGCAGAGCAGGAUGGGUUUCUGGCUGGCACCCCAAUCCUUGCUUCCUCCCUGCGGUUGCUGCGUGUCGUGACAAACAGCAGCCGUGCUUGGGAGUGAUGGAGACAAUCGCUGCUCACACCACAUGCCUUCACUUCAGCACUUUUUCAGUUCAAGGAGUGACAUGAGCUUACAGGAGAGCCCUUUACCUUGCAAGAUGCCUGUGCUCUUAAUAACCAAAGUAUAUGGGAUGUUAUUGCUCACCACUAUGGAAACAGCACUUGCUGAGCACUUGCUGUGACUGUGCCCAAUAAUACGGGGAUGAAUAAUGCUGUAACAGAGAGGUCAUGGAAAUGUGAGCUAACACAGGACAGGAGGGUUAAUGAACACCGACCAUCAUAAAACCGUUGCGGGAUCUUUAAUUAACACAGGUGAUUCCCAUUUGCCUCAACAGCUUCUCACCUCGUCAAUCCAUGCAACCUAAAAACACCCUGCAGAUCAGCCAGGCAGGAAGGUAAUGGUCUUUUUAUGGAUGUAACUCAUAAAAUCCCAGAACCAUAUGGCAGCCCAAGUUGGGAGGGACUUGGAAAGGUCAUCGGGUCCAAGCUUUCAUGGGAAAAGGGAGCCUGGGUGAGACUGCCUUGCACCCAUCUUAAAAACCUCCAGUGAUUGUGAUUCAACCGCAUCCCUGGGGAGGUUUUUCUGGUGAGUGAGUGCUCUCGCUGUCAAAAAUUUCUUUCUUCUAUCAAGAUGAAACCUCUCCUGAUGCAGGAUGUACCCGUUGUCCCUUGUCUUCUCCCCUUGAGAAGAGAGAGCCUCCAUCCUUAUUGUAGCUGCCCUGUUAGCACUGGAAUACCGUGAUGAGGUCCCCCUUGAGCCUUCUCUUCUCCUGGGUGAAAAUACCUAGCUCCUUCAAUCUUUAUUCAUGGUUCUCCAGCCCUCUGGUCAUCUUCAUGGCCCUCUUUGGACCUCUCCGAUCUAUCCAUGCCCUUUUGAAUUACGGGGACCAGAACUGGGCGCAGCACUCCAGGCGCAGCCUGACAAGUGCAGCGGGAUGAUCACAUCUCUGUCUCUGCCAGAAAUGCCCAGUUACCUGGGUUUGUUGUGCAGCACGAGCUGUGUGCUCAGGAACUGCUUUGGAGAGCACGAACUGGCACAUCAAGUCCUUCCUUAAUGUGCUGGAUUUAUUACACGAGGCUCCUAACGCACCAGUGCUCCCCUGUAAUGGGUUUUCUGCACCAUCUGGGUGCUCUUUGGGGUCAGGCAGGCCCCUCUGCCACUCUGCACGUUCCUUUGACCGGGAGAUAAAGGACCCAGCACCUCGAAUUGGACACUACAAAGCAAUGACUUGCUCAAAAACUGGAAAUCUGGAAGAAAAGCCGUGCAUUUGCUUGCUGGUGACUCAGUGCUCGGUGUUUUCAAACUUCCCAGGCGAAAUACGGACCGGAGACAUAACUGCUAGGAAAAGUGAAGGUCUGCUUUCCCCAGCAGCGUGUGAGUCCCAGCAGCUGGAGUCCAGACAGCCCUGAAGUGACAAGGUCUGCAAACAAACUGGGAUUUUAUAGGGUCAGUUGUAACACAGUAGGUGUGGUAAUAGGGGCUGGGGUGCUUAAAGAAGUGUCAUAACAAAAUAUUUUGGAAAAUAUCGCUCCACGUGUACACCCGGGGCAUGAAUGCUAACCUGAAAUAAUUUCCUUUGUUUCAAUGUUUUCUAUAUUAAGAAGUGGUAUUUUAGAUUUCUACUCGCUUUGUCUACCCAAGUGCAGGGGCUGCUUCGGCUCCCCAGGCUGCGUCUGUCUCGGAGGAGCUCUGCAGAAGGCAGAAUUUGACCCACUGCGCUCAGCUGUCCUACUAAUACAUCUGCCUUGGGUCCAAGUGUUCUCCCGAUUUGUGCUAUAAUUAUCCUAAAACUAGAUUUUUCUGAUUUCCAUUCCCCCGUAGCUUUUUAUAGCCCCGGGAGUUAAUUAUUCAGAGCCGUGGAAGUUCUCGGCAGCGCUUUGCCCAGGCGUUUUUGGACACUUGAGGCUGGGACGAGGGAAUGGCUUUGGCCAAACGUCCAACCCACUGCAUUUGGUGUUUUCUCCUCUGACGGCGUCUCCUUGGAUCUUCGGGAGGCACUGAUGGUCUCUGAGCCUGCUGUGGGCUGUAUUCACACGCUCUAACAUCCCAGGGAUGGGGAUGAAGCAGGGCAGGGAUGCAGAGGGGAGGCUGCAGGAGCUGGGGAGAAGUCAGCGGUGCCAUUUGGGUGGCUGGGGGCUCUGAGCAGCACCCCGCUGCCCUCGCAGAGGCAAUCCAGCAGCGGCAAAUGAGGCUGAGCCUCUCCUGCCUCCCACAUCCUCGCUCGGGUAAGUGCAGGGAGUGUGUACUUUAAUUAGCGAUGAUACAUGAGGGAGACAGGAGAUGAAGCAACGUUCAAAUUAAGUAUCUGCAGAGCUGGUGAGAAGGCAAAUAUGAGCUCCCAGACUUGAGGGAUUAUUAUUUUUUUUCUUUCAGUCCCUUCUUCCGCAGCGAUGGUUUGGGUUUUAAUUCAAAAAGCAAAGGAGCUGUUGCAGGGGGAGGGCGACGGAUGCCCACACGUCCCCGCUGUCAGCGAGUCGCAAGGCAAACCCUGUAGGUUUGGGGUCUUUCCUCGGGGGUGGAGGCUCCAGCAGAGCCCCGCUCCUCUCCCCCAUGCCUUGGUGAACCUUGGUGAACGGGUUAACCUUCCAUUACAAACCUGUUGGUUAACGUCCUGUGCUCCCAAAUGACAGAAUUUCAAUUUGCUGUUGUAAAUAAAUAAUACUUAAAUAUUGGGUAAAGGGUGCUGCACGCUGCAAUAUGGCUAUGGUGUGUUUUAAAUGAGUAAAUACCAACCAUUCACAGCCCCUUUUGCUACGAUUUCACUUUAAUAAUGACUUCGGUGUUUCGCUAUGAGUCAGGCAACAACAGAGGAAUCGCUGAAGAAAUUUCCCUGAAAACCUCUCCGAAAAACCAGUUAUGAGUCAGAGGAAGCAGCAGCAUGUCACUGGUUCAGGCCCUGCCUGUUUGGCUCCGUGCAAUUUCAGAAACCAGAUCCCCCACCUCGGUCCAGUGUUUGGCUCGGGUUUGUCCCCUCCCAGCAGUCGUGGCUUGGUUACCCUUUUACCUUCGACCGAAAACCGAGCCUUGCACGCCGUUAGGGGCUGGCAGUUCCCGACAGGAGCCCAAAGCAAAGCGGCGUUUGUUUGUGUUGCUGGUGAGAGGUCACAGCUGCAAGGGCAGAUGCUGGCUGAGGCCAAACCGAGUUAAUUAGGCAGCGCUGCGAUGCCACUGCUCGAUGCAAAAGGUGUCCCCGUCCAGCGCUUCCUAGGAUCUCAUCCGGUAAAAAGGGUUUUACCUCUUAAUCUGCCAGCAUGAAGGAGCAGAAAAGGUGUCUCCAAAAGUCUACCAGAGCUAACAUGGUUUGGAUACCCCGUUACAGGACCAGCAACCAGACUUUUCCAACCUGCCUGGAUAUCACUGGACAUGAACAGGGCGCCUGCUAAUUGUGAUCCUAUGAAAAAUGGAGCAGCAUCUGCAUGGGCAGAUGGCGAGGGCACGGACCCUACAUUGCUCCCCGUCACAGCCAACCCCAGAGGCUUCCCCAGGGCCCACGGGGAUGGUUCUCAAGCUGAGGCCAGCGAGUGAAAUGUGGCUGAAACAUGCUUGAAAUGAAGCAUUUCUUUCACUGCUUUAAAUCAAGGCUCGAGACCGCAGAAUUGGGGCGUCCAUGCACUAGCAUGGGGGAACUG